UUCAACUAGAAAAAAAAAAAAGGAGAAAAAUGCAAGACGUAAGUGAUUGGUUUUAGGUGAGGGAUGACGCAUAAAGUGGCAUUUUUAGAACGAGGGUAACACAACAAUACGAGAAAACAGAAAGAAGACGGAGAAACGUGAAAGAGAAUCAACAUCAAACAUAUAGCUGCUGACACGAUUAUCGUAGUGUUUCGUACGCUUUUCCUUGCGGUUCCAACCUCUUUGAAUUUUUUCACGCGCUAGGGAAAUUGAUGUGUCACGAUCAAGUUUUUGGUGAGUGUCGCUUCGUGACGGACCCGCCGUUCAUCAUUCUCUUUUACGCGUCUCUCUAUAAUUAAAGGUCGCUUCUGCUUCCGCCCUCCUCGACUUCAUUUUGCUGCUGGCCACCCAACUUGAAGAUGGCAAAAUGACGAUGUAGUAGAUGUAGCCGGCCUAUUGUUCCAUCGAAGUAACAGCCGUUUUGCUGAAUCACUGUAUCAGAUCGACUCUUUUUUUUCUUUUUAAAUUUUAAGUUGGUGGACCUCUAUCUUCUCAAAAGUGAUGAACAUCAUUCUCAUCUUCGUUCCUUCUUUUGUGCGAUCAAAAAUGCUGCGGUAGUGGCGUGACCGAGUGAGUUUGGACGCAACUACUGAACACAUCUGCGCGUUAACCUCGGCCCACGGCGUCGAUCACGAUUGAAAAAUGCAAAGUGUAUUUAAUUUUGACGACGUUUCGCUGCGUCACUUCCGCGAGUCCUUCGCCACCAAUUUGGCAUUUUCAAGAGACUUGUUCUCCAACUGUUGACACAUCAAAAAGAAAAAGUGUGUAAAUCUUUUUUUCCUUCGCUGAUGAUGUUCUGCUGUCCAUUGAUUUCUAGGUCACAUACGCCCAGUCCCUUUGGAACGGAGAAGGCCAAGCUUGGAACACGCAACCGUGGGGGGUCUUUUCUUUUUUUUUUUUUGUUAAUAUUUUGUUUUCCCAAUGAAUACUGAGGUCCACUGAUAUGCAACGAUUUCGCCGCUUUUCGGUCGGUACUUGUGUGAUGCAAGCAAAGCAGACUUUCUCUCGCCCUUUCACAUUACCUUCCUACAAUCAAAAAUGAUUGGAAGUUUGCACGACUUGUCGUUGAAAUCGAAUUCUCGUUGAAUAUCUGAGAACGAGAUAGUUGCCGUGUUUCAGCCAUCUUACAAUAUGGCCAAAUGAGUGGGGGUAAAAAAAAAAAGAAAAAGUGAGUUCGGUUCAUUAGCGGCACGAGGUCACUGAUUGAAAAGUAGAAACGCCGCGACGACAACGCUCGGACAUCAAUGGCUUGCGAGUUUUCUCCGGACCAGCCAGUUUUUUUUUCCCCUUCUUUCCGUGUUGAUUUGACGUGGAAGAAAAUUUGCUCAUACUUACUCGUUUUCAAAUUUGAAAAAUUACCCGAAUGUCACGAGAAAUCAUGAGAACUGGUUAGUGUUGAAGAAUUUAUGACUUUCCCAUCCUGAUUUCUCCUGAAAAAAAAAAAAAAAAAUCAUCACGAUGGCACGCGAUGCUUUUUUUCGUUUGAUUGUCCUUUUUUUUCUUCUCAGAACUCCCACCCUCCUUUCUCCCUCCUUUUACACAACUGACUAGUUUCAAAAGAAAACAAACGUUGUUGGAUGACACAAUAGAUUGCGUUAGUUUUUUUUUUUUUCUUCUUAAAUUAUUUGUUUUUUCCUUUUAACUCGACCUUCACCCAGUUCCAUUCUUCGUUGCAACUUCACCAGUUUCCAGUGUCACAGCGGUUUUGCGUUUCCGCUCCCAUCGACGCCAUUAGACCCAACCCUCGAAACCAGGUCUCUGUACACUUGGCUUCAUCUGGAGCAUAAAAGAAUAGUGGAACAAUGAAGAUGACCGUGGCCGUAAUGGCAACUUUCAAUUCCUGCCCUACCAUCAACUGACAUCAAAUCGUCGGUGAUGGUGCCCCCCUUUAUUUUGUUUUUUUUUGCAUCGAAGAUGAGGGAAUUGCCUCUACAAUUCAAUUGAUUCUAGCCGUCAUCGAUAGGUAAAUAUUUUAGCCAAAAAAAAAAAAUACCCUCGUUCCGGCGGCGGUGUGUUUCACUUCCCACGAUUUUCAAUGACACUUUCUUCUUUGCCUUGUCUUGCUCCCCUCCACCCAAGACCCUCUCGGCUGUUCCAAACUUUCCAAGCGAACGAAAUCGCUUUUUAUUUUCGGGCUGCUUUUCUAAUCGUUUCUAUUCUAUUCUAUUCUAUUCUAUUCUAUUCUAUUCUUGGUUGUUGUUUUUUUAAUUGUUUAUAUCCAUCGGCAAUGACAACAGAGAGUAGAGCUGGGAAAUAGUUAAUGCAUCCCAAGGUUUCUGGCUCGCGUGGCCCUUGACACGUGAGAUUUCGAGAGAAACACCCCGUAACAUCAACCAUAAGGGAAAUACUCAAAUGAAAAUCCGUACUGGAACAGAACGAAUGGAACCUACCGAAGACAUCCAAGCUGAAAUAACAGACUUGGUCUAGGCUAACAUGGACCCCACUCAAGGUCUACAUUCCACUUUCAAUUAUGGCCCUUUUUUUUUCAAUCAACGAUGACGGCUUCUUUGGUUGAAUCAGGUACGUUUACUUCUUCUUUCUUGUUAUUAUGUUUUUUUUUUUCUUCUUUUUCUUGAGAAGACAUAUUUUUUCUGAGAUAUCCUUUGACCGCAGGAUGAAGCCGAAAAAUCUUGACAAGUCAUUUGGCCUGGUAAUUGAACAGAGAUGGGUUCCAUUAUAAGUGGCCAACGUCCCUGACGAACUGCUGUCUACCCUGGUUUUCCCCCCUUCACCGAAAAAGCCAACAUGGAACGCCAGAUGCAGAUCCAGAGGGGAUUUCAUCAUUACUCAUAUCCUUUCGCAAGUUGUAGCCGUCACUGUGUCCAGCCAAAAAAAAACAACAACUUGCAUGUGGGCAUCAGCCACAUAUCGCAAAAUCCUACUCCGCACUGAUGACCACCGUGACGUGGUCACAUCGACCAGAAACCUAACGCGGAGAUGAACACGCUCAACUUUUCGUUUCUCUUUUCCCUUUCCCUUUUCCUGGAAGUUAACAAGAAAUGAAUAGAAGAGGAUUCGAAUGCCUGUUUUUUUCCUUUUCCGUACCGCCAAUUUUGAAUCUCAUCAUACACGUACGCACAUACUCACAUCACACAUAAUCCUGCGCGGCGUACAUUCUGCGCAACAAAAGGCGACACACACACACACGUA
rnacentral:lncRNA from 1 species